GGGCGCAAGCCUGAUCUAGCCAUGCCGCGUGAGUGACGAAGGCCUUAGGGUCGUAAAGCUCUUUCGCCAGAGAUGAUAAUGACAGUAUCUGGUAAAGAAACCCCGGCUAACUCCGUGCCAGCAGCCGCGGUAAUACGGAGGGGGUUAGCGUUGUUCGGAAUUACUGGGCGUAAAGCGCACGUAAGCGGAUUGGAAAGUAUGGGGUGAAAUCCCAGGGCUCAACCCUGGAACGGCCUUGUAAACUCCCAGUCUAGAGUUCGAGAGAGGUGAGUGGAAUUCCAAGUGUAGAGGUGAAAUUCGUAUAUAUUUGGAGGAACACCAGUGGCGAAGGCGGCUCACUGGCUCGAUACUGACGCUGAGGUGCGAAAGUGUGGGGAGCAAACAGGAUUAGAUACCCUGGUAGUCCACACCGUAAACGAUGAAUGCCAGACGUCAGGGGGCUUGCCCUUUGGUGUCACACCUAACGGAUUAAGCAUUCCGCCUGGGGAGUACGGUCGCAAGAUUAAAACUCAA
rnacentral:rRNA from 1 species